GACGAACGCUGGCGGCGUGCUUAACACAUGCAAGUCGAACGGAAAGGCCCUGCUCUUGUGGGUUGCUCGAGUGGCGAACGGGUGAGUAACACGUGAGUAACCUGCCCUUGACUUUGGGAUAACUUCAGGAAACUGGGGCUAAUACCGGAUAGGAGCUCCUGCUGCAUGGUGGGGGUUGGAAAGUUUCGGCGGUUGGGGAUGGACUCGCGGCUUAUCAGCUUGUUGGUGGGGUAGUGGCUUACCAAGGCUUUGACGGGUAGCCGGCCUGAGAGGGUGACCGGCCACAUUGGGACUGAGAUACGGCCCAGAAUCCUACGGGAGGCAGCAGGGGGGAAUAUUGCACAACGGGCGGAAGCCUGAUGCAGCAACGCCGCGUGCGGGAUGACGGCCUUCGGGUUGUAAACCGCUUUCGACUGUGACGAAGCGUGAGUGACGGUAAUGGGUAAAGAAGCACCGGCUAACUACGUG
rnacentral:rRNA from 1 species